GAGUUCGUGCAUUCAAGUGACUGCGACGAGAAGAGCAGGAUAUUCCUCCUGGGUUUCACUGGAAGCAAAGCGUCCUGAGGCCUGGUGCCUUCAGUGCCUUCACAAAGACCCCCUUCUCUGCUUUAAGUGAAAGCUAGAGGAAUGAAGGGCACUUGGCCUGGGAGACCACCCAAGAACAGUGCUUCGUUCAUCACCCGGAGACAGUGGCCUGUUCAAAAGAGGAUUUCUCAACUUUAGAAGGAUGAUUCUGGCUGUGGUGUUGAGAAGAGACUCCAGCAAGGAUGGAAGUUGAGACAAACAUGGCAGCAGGAAGACCCUCUAAGGAGCUACGGCAAUAGAAGAAAAGGACUGAGGUCCUCUCGCCACCAAACUGAAGCUGAAACCUCAGCCUCUCAGUUCAUCAUUUGAAUGGUGUCAAGAAUAUGAGAUGGUGUGAGGAUGAUGGGAGAAAGGGCAUCUGAAAUGCUUGUUUUGGUUCCUCCUGAAUCCACAGUCAGUACUCAGUAGAGUAGCCAUGGUUUUAAUUAUUUUAAGAGGAAGAUUCACAAGGAUGUGCCCACAAAACACUGCCAAUUUGCAGCUGAAAAUGAUAACUGGAUUGAUAUUCCUCUUUGAGAUGCAAGCAGAUGCCUCCACCAACUAUCUCGAACCGGAAUGCCGCAGCCUCCCCUUCGUCCGCAUUUAUCCUUGGCAGGAGCACCGUCUAUUUUGGGAAGGUAUUCUGACACGUUACCUCUUGGCUGCAGUGGCUCCAAGAAUGUACUCAGUGAACGGAACAGCCCUCUUCCCCCAUGCGACAGGCAGCCCCAGCGUGUGCUGUGGCAGACGAAGCUGGCCCAAGAUCAGAGGAGCUAAUCGGCAUCGGGUUUAUUCCGGGGCUCAGGGAAGAUGCCUGAUCGCUUGGGAACAGCUUUUCUGGGGCUUUCUCUCCUGGUGGCCGGUCCUGUUGUGCAGAAGGGCUGGAGAGCUGUACGUGGGAAUUCGCACCAGGGUCAUUCGAUGAACAUGUGUAUGUCUCCGAACUUCAUGUUUGGGCUCUUCUGAGGACGUUUCCGAAGGCGCAUUUUUUUUCCUGGUGAUUCUGUGGGCUGCCUGCUCCUCGGGGAAAGCUGUUCUUCCUUGCUUGGGUUUGGGGGACGGGGAGGGAGAGGGUCUGCAGCUUCCCUCUCUGGAGAAGGUGGGGAUCAGGAUGAGGCAGCAUUUAGACAGCAAAGGAAACAGCACAGGCCUAUGUGACAUGCAAACAAAUGUGUAUGGAAAUAAAAACUAAGGGAUUUCUAUGAAAUAGGGCCA
rnacentral:lncRNA from 1 species